rnacentral:lncRNA from 1 species
AGGUCAAGUCCUCUAGAGAGCCAUCCACGGUCAUGUCUGUGGCCAGGCCCUCUGCGUGCUGGAAGGGAGUACGGAGAAGGGGCACUGGCCGCUCCAGAGCCCACACUGGACUCUGGGGGCCAGGAGGAAAAUGGAGAUAGCGGCUGCGUUCCGUCUUUCUUUGUGACUUUGUUCUCUCGCAGACUCGUUAAUUCCUGGCAAAAUGUCGAGGGCGAGCAAACCUGGCUGCUUGGAGUACCGACCAGUCUUGUUAUUGUGUUUUUCCUUUGGGAGGGGGAGUUGUUGCGCUUUGAAUAUCAUCUAUCUCCGUGCUUCCCCCCCCACCCCCUGGGCCGAUGAAGUGACUGAAGGAACAAGCUGAAGAUGACUGGUCGGCCUCUCAUCAUCCUUUGCUGGGGGGAGGAGUGGGGAGUGAGGCAGACAGAGAGAGAGGGGGAGGGAGAGAGAGAGAGAGACGUUUCAGCUUGGGGGGUGGGGGGGGCUAAGGAGAUAGAUAUGCAGCGCCUGCCUCGGGACCCUGAGCCCCUCUGCAGAGCUUCUGGACACCAUUCGUUGACACCAAGGACUGGCUACGAUGAGCAUGUAGUCCCUGGCCCGUACACAACCUUGGGGGUAAUAGGGAUAAGAGUGAAAACCUCCCCUCCCCCUGUGCCACGUUGGGAAAAAAGAGAUGGAGCCGGAAAAGAAUAAGUGAAGGAGAGGAUACAACAACCAGGAGAUGAGGCAGAGGUAAACGUGUUGCAGCCUUGCCACUUGAAAUAUGCUAUUUCCUUGAAGUGCAUCAGAUCGAGAACUUCCUUCAUCCUCAUGCCUCCCUUCCACUACCCAUUCAUUUCUUUACCUCUGCCCAAGCAACAGGGGACAGAAAUGACGAGCUGGCAAUGAAGGAGUCAUCCUUAAACUUAUCCCACCAACCUUAAUCAUCGCAGGGUUUUCUCGAUGCAGACCCUGAUUAGAGUUCGUUAAAUGGCGGUGUCCGAGGGACGUGAUUUGUGAGAAGUAAUCCUUGUAAAAAAAAAAAGCAUAUAAACAUAAAUGCUAAUAAAUUAGUUUACUCCACUACA